rnacentral:rRNA from 1 species
GGUAACCUGCCCUUAACUCUGGGAUAAGCCUGGGAAACUGGGUCUAAUACCGGAUAGGAGCGUCCACCGCAUGGUGGGUGUUGGAAAGAUUUAUCGGUUUUGGAUGGACUCGCGGCCUAUCAGCUUGUUGGUGAGGUAAUGGCUCACCAAGGCGACGACGGGUAGCCGGCCUGAGAGGGUGACCGGCCACAUUGGGACUGAGACACGGCCCAGACUCCUACGGGAGGCAGCAGUGGGGAAUAUUGCACAAUGGGCGCAAGCCUGAUGCAGCGACGCCGCGUGAGGGAUGACGGCCUUCGGGUUGUAAACCUCUUUCAGUAGGGAAGAAGCGAAAGUGACGGUACCUACAGAAGAAGCACCGGCUAACUACGUGCCAGCAGCCGCGGUAAUACGUAGGGUGCGAGCGUUAUCCGGAAUUAUUGGGCGUAAAGAGCUCGUAGGCGGUUUGUCGCGUCUGUCGUGAAAGUCCGGGGCUUAACCCCGGAUCUGCAGUGGGUACGGGCAGACUAGAGUGCAGUAGGGGAGACUGGCUUAUGGUGUAGCGUGGAAUGCGCAGAUAUCAGGAGGAACACCGAUGGCGAAGGCAGGUCUCUGGGCUGUAACUGACGCUGAGGAGCGAAAGCAUGGGGAGCGAACAGGAUUAGAUACCCUGGUAGUCCAUGCCGUAACGUUGGGCACUAGGUGUGGGGACCAUUUCCACGGUUUCCGCGCCGCACUAACGAUUAAGUGCCCCGCUGGGGAGUACGGCC